UGGGAGAAAUCUAGUCAGACAAUAUUCAAGCGUUAGAGAUAUUUUGCUAAUGAUCGUAUUUGUGAGUAACAUCGUGCGACAUGACGAUCCAUAACACGUGGAACAAUUGGGCACGGGCUAAUUCUAUGUGAAAAAAUAAGUUGAAAAAAUGGAAUGAAAAGGUUUUCAUGCGCUUUGUUUCUGAGAAAAUUGCCAUACAUUCGAAAAUAAAUAAAAAUUGCGAAAUAACAUUUUUCCGUCCAAGCCUCCGCUUUCAAGCAAAUAAUGUUUCAACAUGUUUGUUUAGUUAAGAAUUGUUCUGUUACACUUUAACGAAUUUUUAAAAUGAGAAGAAUAUAAUAAAAAUAUAAUAAGUAUUCGUACAGUUACCGUUCUAUGCGAUGAAACGUACGUAGAUGCUUUAAAAAAUAAUCUACAUCAAAGUGCAUAAAAAGAAUGGGUUUGACAGACAAUGUUAUCGUGACGUAAGAUAACAACAAAGCAUAAUGCUACUAAUAUGCGAGUGUGGCACUUGUAUAAUGUUUACAAACACUUAAAAACACGUCCACAACAACCAGAUGUAAAUAUCAUUGAAAAUAUUUGGGACCACCUGAAACGAAAAGAUACAGAGUCACCAUAUUUCAGCAAGAAAUGAUUUAAAGAAGGUUCUUGUAGAAGAAUGGAAAAAUAUUUCAAGCAGAGUACUCAUCUAUUUGAUAAAUUCACUACCACGACGGCUUCGAGCCAUAAUAAAAUCAAAAGGAAACCCCAUUGAGUAUUAAAAUGAUCAAACCUAGCGAUUUCCUCUCUUAGAUAUUAGGCGAGUCUUACUCUUUUCCUACUAUUACUAUAACUGUAUGAAUAUUAAUCACGCAUAUAUUUUUGCCAUUUGUUAGAUACUUGUUAAUAUCUCUGCAAAGGAUAUAGGUUUCCCCUUCUUUUUUAUGAAAAUUAUUUUGCGGCUUGGUAAGAAUAUAUACGUAUUUUUUAUUUGCUAAAAUUUCGCUGAUAGACGAUGUUCUACAAUAUUUUUGUUGAAAUUAAUUACUGUACGAAUACAUUUUACACCGACUGUACAUUUUUACAUAUGAAAAAAUAUUAUUUACAUUUUUCGAGUUGCUUUCACAGGUAGUUUAACAUCCUGUUGAUUAUUUUUCUUGUUCGAUUCGGAAUUAGCUAAUCAAAAUUUCGAACUUGAUUUUCUCGGAAAUGUCACGUGAAAAAAUGUUAUUUUUUCUCGCAGAACCGCCUUGCACCAACUUGUACCAUUAGUUACGGACCAAUUUGCAAAUAUGAUUACUCGUUAUUAGUUGUUAUACAUUACAUUAUAUGUAUAUUUUAUUCUAUAUUUUAUAUCAUAUUCAAUAAAUACACACCUUUCAUCAACAUUUGCACAGAUUUCGUUCUGCUAUCACUACGCUUUAUCUUUUCGGACGGAUGUGACAUUUCUUCGUCGCGCGCAACAUUUUUGUUACGAAAUUACAAACGAACGACACUGCGACACAAAAUUGUGAUGUACAUCGAACAACAAUAAGAGCGAAUGACUCGUGCGUUGAUUGAGUCGUGAUAUAUAUCAGUGGAUAUAUACAAUGGAACAACAGGUUGUAAGGUUCUCGUGUUUCGAAAUUUUAUCGUGUCACCGUGACGUGAGUUUUCAUAAUAAACAAUGCGAUUAAUUAGAGACGUUUAUCUAAUAACUAUUACCACGAGGAGAACUCUAAUCGUACUGGCUCGCGUAUAUCUGCAAUGGUGAAGAGAUAUACUUACUCUUUCACGCGAUAGCAUCGAGUUUCAUGAUUGAAACUAGUAUACUUAAAAAAAAAAAAAAAAAAA